UUUGUGAUAAAUUUAUUAUAUUUUGUGGGUUGUUGAUUAGUGAUUUCUUUAUUAUCUCAAAUUAAGAACAAUAAUAUUUGUUUGAUUUAUUUAUUUCCUCCGAUGUGUUGGUAAAGUAAAUUUAGCCUAUUUCAUUUAUGGGUCUGUCCUUGAUCACUGGUUCAAUAAUUCAUGAAAAUCCCAAUUGAAAACAAACCUAAAUAUCUUUUCAUAUAAAUCCGGAAAUACUAAUCCCCUCAUCAACCUGAAAGCCUUAAUUCCUAAUAUUAUAAAAGAAAAUAAGUUUGAAGAAAAGUUGAACUGCUCCGGCUGCAAAGUUAGUGACUUUUUUUUUUUUUUGGUGUGAGGACAUUUUUUAUUGAGAGAAGCAAUAAUAUACUAAAUUCACACACACAACCAACUAGUGGGUCCUUUGCAAGUGACUUUUUUUUUUUUUUGGUUCAUAAGGAGGCAUGUGGAUAAAUGAUGUCACAAUAAAGGUGCUAAUUAUGAGUGAAUUUUUAAUUUGGAGAGUUCGAUACGCUAUAAAUUUGUUCAUGGGAGUAAUUAUCACAUUGAAAACACGGCAUGCAUCACAUGAUGUUGGUUUGAAAUAUAUGUACUAGUGGAAAGAAUGUAAAACUCAGUUUGAGACAAAUUGUGGUGGGUACAUCCCUAAUUAUUUAGAUUAUCGUGCGAUUAUUGUUGUUCUAACACACUAGUUGAAGAAAAAGAUCAAAAUCCUCAUAAUUGGCAAAUAUUCUUUUAUGGUGCAUAAACCAUGGUAACAGUUGGGUUUAACUGUUUAUGACAUGUUUAUUUUAGGGUGUUGAUUUUUUUACUUUCCUUUUGUCCACUUACACUCCUUUUUGUUUUUUUUAAAAUACUUUUUAUUCUAACAAAAAAGAGAGUGUAAGUCGACAAAAAAGGAGUGAGAGGGCAUACAAUUUCCAACAAAGAGAAUGUAAGUGGACACAAGCGAAGUGGAAAAAUCAGCUCCCUUAUUUUAAUGUAAGAUUAACGUUUUUCUAACAAGCAUAAUAUUUUGGUCGAGAUUAGCUUGUUUCUUUUAUGAACAGAGUUCGAGCGAGCCCAAAACGAGCAGAAAACGAGUUGAAUUUGAAGUGAGUAGAGCCCAUUUACAGUCCUAUAACCUAAUUUGAUUAAUAUGCAGAAGAGAAUUCAAUUUUGUUGAGUUUCUUUCUUAC
rnacentral:lncRNA from 1 species